GUAUGGUGCAAGCGUUAUCCGGAUUUACUGGGUGUAAAGGGAGCGUAGACGGCUGUGUAAGUCUGAAGUGAAAGCCCGGGGCUCAACCCCGGGACUGCUUUGGGAACUAUGCAGCUAGAGUGUCGGAGAGGUAAGUGGAAUUCCCAGUGUAGCGGUGAAAUGCGUAGAUAUUGGGAGGAACACCAGUGGCGAAGGCGGCUUACUGGACGAUGACUGACGUUGAGGCUCGAAAGCGUGGGGAGCAAACAGGAUUAGAUACCCUGGUAGUCCACGCCGUAAACGAUGACUACUAGGUGUCGGGGAGCAAAGCUCUUCGGUGCCGCAGCAAACGCAAUAAGUAGUCCACCUGGGGAGU
rnacentral:rRNA from 1 species